GACGAACGCUGGCGGCGUGCCUAAUACAUGCAAGUCGAACGAGAGCACCCGGUGCUUGCACUGGUCAAUCUAGUGGCGAACGGGUGAGUAACACGUGGGUAACCUGCCCAUCAGAGGGGGAUAACAUCCGGAAACGGAUGCUAAAACCGCAUAGGUCUUCGAACCGCAUGGUUUGAAGAGGAAAAGAGGCGCAAGCUUCUGCUGAUGGAUGGACCCGCGGUGCAUUAGCUAGUUGGUGAGGUAACGGCUCACCAAGGCCGUGAUGCAUAGCCGACCUGAGAGGGUGAUAGGCCACAUUGGGACUGAGACACGGCCCAAACUCCUACGGGAGGCAGCAGUAGGGAAUCUUCCGCAAUGGACGCAAGUCUGACGGAGCAACGCCGCGUGAGUGAAGAAGGUUUUCGGAUCGUAAAACUCUGUUGUUAGAGAAGAACAAGUGCUAGAGUAACUGUUAGCGCCUUGACGGUAUCUAACCAGAAAGCAACGGCUAACUACGUG
rnacentral:rRNA from 1 species